rnacentral:ncRNA from 1 species
AUAAAAACUAUGAAAGGGAAAAGUAAGUAGUUCCUAAUUCUUAAAGAGAGUAAGUAUUUGCUGAAAGCUUACAGAUGCGAACUACUGAAGAUCACCCUGGAGUUGCAGGCUGAAUUUUAGUAAGCUGAGCCGGAAAGCCGUUAAAUUCAUGAGUACAUAUUUUUGGGUGGUACCGCGAACAGACUUCGCCCCAAGC